GCGUGAGUGAAGAAGGCCCUAGGGUUGUAAAACUCUUUCACCCGUGAAGAUGAUGACGGUAGCGGGAGAAGAAGCCCCGGCUAACUCCGUGCCAGCAGCCGCGGUAAUACGGAGGGGGCUAGCGUUGUUCGGAAUUACUGGGCGUAAAGCGCACGUAGGCGGCGCACAUAGUCAGAGGUGAAAGGCCUGGGCUCAACCCAGGAACUGCCUUUGAUACUGGUGUGCUUGAGUCCGGGAGAGGGUAGUGGAAUUCCCAGUGUAGAGGUGAAAUUCGU
rnacentral:rRNA from 1 species